GGUUAAGCGACUAAGCGUACACGGUGGAUGCCCUGGCAGUCAGAGGCGAUGAAGGACGUGCUAAUCUGCGAUAAGCGUCGGUAAGGUGAUAUGAACCGUUAUAACCGGCGAUUUCCGAAUGGGGAAACCCAGUGUGAUUCGUCACACUAUCAUUAACUGAAUCCAUAGGUUAAUGAGGCGAACCGGGGGAACUGAAACAUCUAAGUACCCCGAGGAAAAGAAAUCAACCGAGAUUCCCCCAGUAGCGGCGAGCGAACGGGGAGCAGCCCAGAGCCUGAAUCAGUGUGUGUGUUAGUGGAAGCGUCUGGAAAGGCGCGCGAUACAGGGUGACAGCCCCGUACACAAAAAUGCACAUGCUGUGAGCUCGAUGAGUAGGGCGGGACACGUGGUAUCCUGUCUGAAUAUGGGGGGACCAUCCUCCAAGGCUAAAUACUCCUGACUGACCGAUAGUGAACCAGUACCGUGAGGGAAAGGCGAAAAGAACCCCGGCGAGGGGAGUGAAAAAGAACCUGAAACCGUGUACGUACAAGCAGUGGGAGCACGCUUAGGCGUGUGACUGCGUACCUUUUGUAUAAUGGGUCAGCGACUUAUAUUCUGUAGCAAGGUUAACCGAAUAGGGGAGCCGAAGGGAAACCGAGUCUUAACUGGGCGUUAAGUUGCAGGGUAUAGACCCGAAACCCGGUGAUCUAGCCAUGGGCAGGUUGAAGGUUGGGUAACACUAACUGGAGGACCGAACCGACUAAUGUUGAAAAAUUAGCGGAUGACUUGUGGCUGGGGGUGAAAGGCCAAUCAAACCGGGAGAUAGCUGGUUCUCCCCGAAAGCUAUUUAGGUAGCGCCUCGUGAAUUCAUCUCCGGGGGUAGAGCACUGUUUCGGCAAGGGGGUCAUCCCGACUUACCAACCCGAUGCAAACUGCGAAUACCGGAGAAUGUUAUCACGGGAGACACACGGCGGGUGCUAACGUCCGUCGUGAAGAGGGAAACAACCCAGACCGCCAGCUAAGGUCCCAAAGUCAUGGUUAAGUGGGAAACGAUGUGGGAAGGCCCAGACAGCCAGGAUGUUGGCUUAGAAGCAGCCAUCAUUUAAAGAAAGCGUAAUAGCUCACUGGUCGAGUCGGCCUGCGCGGAAGAUGUAACGGGGCUAAACCAUGCACCGAAGCUGCGGCAGCGACGCUUAUGCGUUGUUGGGUAGGGGAGCGUUCUGUAAGCCUGUGAAGGUGUGCUGUGAGGCAUGCUGGAGGUAUCAGAAGUGCGAAUGCUGACAUAAGUAACGAUAAAGCGGGUGAAAAGCCCGCUCGCCGGAAGACCAAGGGUUCCUGUCCAACGUUAAUCGGGGCAGGGUGAGUCGACCCCUAAGGCGAGGCCGAAAGGCGUAGUCGAUGGGAAACAGGUUAAUAUUCCUGUACUUGGUGUUACUGCGAAGGGGGGACGGAGAAGGCUAUGUUGGCCGGGCGACGGUUGUCCCGGUUUAAGCGUGUAGGCUGGUUUUCCAGGCAAAUCCGGAAAAUCAAGGCUGAGGCGUGAUGACGAGGCACUACGGUGCUGAAGCAACAAAUGCCCUGCUUCCAGGAAAAGCCUCUAAGCAUCAGGUAACAUCAAAUCGUACCCCAAACCGACACAGGUGGUCAGGUAGAGAAUACCAAGGCGCUUGAGAGAACUCGGGUGAAGGAACUAGGCAAAAUGGUGCCGUAACUUCGGGAGAAGGCACGCUGAUAUGUAGGUGAAGUCCCUUGCGGAUGGAGCUGAAAUCAGUCGAAGAUACCAGCUGGCUGCAACUGUUUAUUAAAAACACAGCACUGUGCAAACACGAAAGUGGACGUAUACGGUGUGACGCCUGCCCGGUGCCGGAAGGUUAAUUGAUGGGGUCAGCGCAAGCGAAGCUCUUGAUCGAAGCCCCGGUAAACGGCGGCCGUAACUAUAACGGUCCUAAGGUAGCGAAAUUCCUUGUCGGGUAAGUUCCGACCUGCACGAAUGGCGUAAUGAUGGCCAGGCUGUCUCCACCCGAGACUCAGUGAAAUUGAACUCGCUGUGAAGAUGCAGUGUACCCGCGGCAAGACGGAAAGACCCCGUGAACCUUUACUAUAGCUUGACACUGAACAUUGAGCCUUGAUGUGUAGGAUAGGUGGGAGGCUUGGAAGUGUGGACGCCAGUCUGCAUGGAGCCGACCUUGAAAUACCACCCUUUAAUGUUUGAUGUUCUAACGUUGACCCGUAAUCCGGGUUGCGGACAGUGUCUGGUGGGUAGUUUGACUGGGGCGGUCUCCUCCUAAAGAGUAACGGAGGAGCACGAAGGUUGGCUAAUCCUGGUCGGACAUCAGGAGGUUAGUGCAAUGGCAUAAGCCAGCUUGACUGCGAGCGUGACGGCGCGAGCAGGUGCGAAAGCAGGUCAUAGUGAUCCGGUGGUUCUGAAUGGAAGGGCCAUCGCUCAACGGAUAAAAGGUACUCCGGGGAUAACAGGCUGAUACCGCCCAAGAGUUCAUAUCGACGGCGGUGUUUGGCACCUCGAUGUCGGCUCAUCACAUCCUGGGGCUGAAGUAGGUCCCAAGGGUAUGGCUGUUCGCCAUUUAAAGUGGUACGCGAGCUGGGUUUAGAACGUCGUGAGACAGUUCGGUCCCUAUCUGCCGUGGGCGCUGGAGAACUGAGGGGGGCUGCUCCUAGUACGAGAGGACCGGAGUGGACGCAUCACUGGUGUUCGGGUUGUCAUGCCAAUGGCACUGCCCGGUAGCUAAAUGCGGAAGAGAUAAGUGCUGAAAGCAUCUAAGCACGAAACUUGCCCCGAGAUGAGUUCUCCCUGACUCCUUGAGAGUCCUGAAGGAACGUUGAAGACGACGACGUUGAUAGGCCGGGUGUGUAAGCGCAGCGAUGCGUUGAGCUAACCGGUACUAAUGAACCGUGAGGCUUAACCUU
rnacentral:rRNA from 1 species